GGUUAAGCGACUAAGCGUACACGGUGGAUGCCCUGGCAGUCAGAGGCGAUGAAGGACGUGCUAAUCUGCGAAAAGCGCCGGCGAGGUGAUAUGAACCCUUGACCCGGCGAUGUCCGAAUGGGGAAACCCAGUGUGUUUCGACACACUAUCGUUAACUGAAUACAUAGGUUAACGAGGCGAACCGGGGGAACUGAAACAUCUAAGUACCCCGAGGAAAAGAAAUCAACCGAGAUUCCCCCAGUAGCGGCGAGCGAACGGGGAGCAGCCCGGAGUCUGAAUCAGCUUGUGUGUUAGUGGAACGGUCUGGAAAGUCCGACGGUACAGGGUGAUAGUCCCGUACACGAAAGCACACUUGCUGUGAACUCGAAGAGUAGGGCGGGACACGUGGUAUCCUGUCUGAAUAUGGGGGGACCAUCCUCCAAGGCUAAAUACUCCUGACUGACCGAUAGUGAACCAGUACCGUGAGGGAAAGGCGAAAAGAACCCCGGCGAGGGGAGUGAAAAAGAACCUGAAACCGUGUACGUACAAGCAGUGGGAGCCUCUUUAUGGGGUGACUGCGUACCUUUUGUAUAAUGGGUCAGCGACUUAUAUUCUGUAGCAAGGUUAACCGUAUAGGGGAGCCGAAGGGAAACCGAGUCUUAACUGGGCGUUAAGUUGCAGGGUAUAGACCCGAAACCCGGUGAUCUAGCCAUGGGCAGGUUGAAGGUUGGGUAACACUAACUGGAGGACCGAACCGACUAAUGUUGAAAAAUUAGCGGAUGACCUGUGGCUGGGGGUGAAAGGCCAAUCAAACCGGGAGAUAGCUGGUUCUCCCCGAAAGCUAUUUAGGUAGCGCCUCGUGAACU
rnacentral:rRNA from 1 species